UAUACAUGCAAGUCGAGCGGACAGAUGGGAGCUUGCUCCCUGAUGUUAGCGGCGGACGGGUGAGUAACACGUGGGUAACCUGCCUGUAAGACUGGGAUAACUCCGGGAAACCGGGGCUAAUACCGGAUGGUUGUUUGAACCGCAUGGUUCAAACAUAAAAGGUGGCUUCGGCUACCACUUACAGAUGGACCCGCGGCGCAUUAGCUAGUUGGUGAGGUAACGGCUCACCAAGGCAACGAUGCGUAGCCGACCUGAGAGGGUGAUCGGCCACACUGGGACUGAGACACGGCCCAGACUCCUACGGGAGGCAGCAGUAGGGAAUCUUCCGCAAUGGACGAAAGUCUGACGGAGCAACGCCGCGUGAGUGAUGAAGGUUUUCGGAUCGUAAAGCUCUGUUGUUAGGGAAGAACAAGUACCGUUCGAAUAGGGCGGUACCUUGACGGUACCUAACCAGAAAGCCACGGCUAACUACGUGCCAGCAGCCGCGGUAAUACGUAGGUGGCAAGCGUUGUCCGGAAUUAUUGGGCGUAAAGGGCUCGCAGGCGGUUUCUUAAGUCUGAUGUGAAAGCCCCCGGCUCAACCGGGGAGGGUCAUUGGAAACUGGGGAACUUGAGUGCAGAAGAGGAGAGUGGAAUUCCACGUGUAGCGGUGAAAUGCGUAGAGAUGUGGAGGAACACCAGUGGCGAAGGCGACUCUCUGGUCUGUAACUGACGCUGAGGAGCGAAAGCGUGGGGAGCGAACAGGAUUAGAUACCCUGGUA
rnacentral:rRNA from 1 species